CCUACGGGAGGCAGCAGUGGGGAAUUUUGCGCAAUGGGCGAAAGCCUGACGCAGCAACGCCGCGUGAGUGAUGAAGGCCUUCGGGUCGUAAAGCUCUGUCAGAUGGGAAGAAGGUUCCGUUUCUGAAUAAGAAACGGAAUUGACGGUACCGUCGAAGGAAGCACCGGCUAACUCCGUGCCAGCAGCCGCGGUAAUACGGAGGGUGCAAGCGUUGUUCGGAUUUAUUGGGCGUAAAGAGCGUGUAGGCGGCCGGGUAAGUCAGAGGUAAAAUCCCUUGGCUUAACCAAGGAAGGGCAUUUGAAACGGUCUGGCUUGAGUACGGGAGGGGGAAGUGGAAUCCCCGGUGUAGAGGUGAAAUUCGUAGAUAUCGGGAGGACCACCGGUGGCGAAGGCGGCUUCCGGGACCGAUACUGACGCUGAGACGCGAAAGCGUGGGGAGAAAACAGGAU
rnacentral:rRNA from 1 species